ACUGCCUAAAGAUGAGCUCACGCCUGAUUAGCUUGUUGGUGAGGUAAUGGCUUACCAAGGCCACGAUCAGUAGCUGGUUUGAGAGAACGAUCAGCCACACUGGGACUGAGACACGGCCCAGACUCCUCCGGGAGGCAGCAGUAAGGAAUUUUCCGCAAUGGGCGAAAGCCUGACGGAGCAAUACCGCGUGAGGGAUGAAGUAUCUUGGUAUGUAAACCUCUUUUCUCAAGAAAGAAGUUCUGACGGUACUUGAGGAAUAAGCAUCGGCUAACUCCGUGCCAGCAGCCGCGGUAAUACGGGGGAUGCAAGCGUUAUCCGGAAUCAUUGGGCGUAAAGCGCCUGUAGGUUGCUUAGUAAGUCCGUUGUUAAAGACUAGGGCCUAACCCUAGGAAAGCAAUAGAAACUACUAGACUUGAGUAUGGCAGGGGUAGAGGGAAUUUCUAGUGUAGCGGUGAAAUGCGUAGAUAUUAGAAAGAACACCGGUGGCGAAGGCGCUCUACUGGACCAUUACUGACACUGAGAGGCGAAAGCUAGGGUAGCAAAAGGGAUUAGAUACCCCUGUAGUCCUAGCCGUAAACGAUGGAUACUAGGUGUUGUGCAAAUUGUACAGUAUCUUAGCUAACGCGUUAAGUAUCCCGCCUGGGGAGUACGCUCGCAAGGGUGAAACUCAAAGGAAUUGACGGGGGCCCGCACAAGCGGUGGAGCAUGUGGUUUAAUUCGAUCAACGCGAAGAACCUUACCAGGGCUUGACAUACUACUGAUCUUUUUGAAAUGAAAGAGUGCCUUCGGGAAUGUAGAUACAGGUGGUGCAUGGCUGUCGUCAGCUCGUGUCGUGAGAUGUUGGGUUAAGUCCCGCAACGAGCGCAACCCUCGUUUUUAGUUGUCAAUUCAUUGGGUUUUCUAAAAAGACUGCCGGUGACAAACCGGAGGAAGGUGAGGAUGACGUCAAGUCAGCAUGCCCCUUAUGUCCUGGGCCACACACGUGCUACAAUGGCGGAGACAAAGAGUUGCAAACCUGCGAAGGCUAGCUAAUCUCAUAAACUUCGUCUAAGUUCGGAUUGUAGGCUGCAACUCGCCUACAUGAAGUUGGAAUCGCUAGUAAUCGCUGGUCAGCUAUACAGCGGUGAAUUCGUUCCCGGGCCUUGUACACACCGCCCGUCACACCAUGGGAGCUGGUCAUACCCAAUAUCGUUAGUCUAACCAUUAGGGGGACGGCGCUUAAGGUAGGGCUAGUGACUGGGGUGAAGUCGUAACAAGGUA
rnacentral:rRNA from 1 species